rnacentral:rRNA from 1 species
UUCCAGCUCCAAAAGCGUAUAUUAAAGUUGUUGCAGUUAAAAAGCUCGUAGUUGAAGUUCUGGCUGUAUUGGGCCUUUGCACUUGAUGCGAAGGAACCAGCAGUCAUCCGCUUGCAAAUACAAACCUUCCUUAACUGGUAGGCUGUAUAAGCAAGCACUUUACCUUGAGAAAAACAGAGUGUUCCAGACAGGUUUGUCCGGAAUGCGUUAGCAUGGAAUAAUAGAAUAUGACUGAAGUCGAUUUAUUGGU